UUUUGUGACAGCAAACAUAUGCUGUUUCAAAUGUAUACUUGCAUAUAAAUGUAUAUUAUACUUGCAUAUAAAUGUAUAAAUGCAAGUAUAUCAAGAAUCCCACAAGCUUUGUGGUCGAAAAUGACUUAACACUAUUUUGGUUACACUCAUUGCUGGUCUGAAUCAGGGCUAUAGCCAAGCCGUAAAAACUAGACUAUAAAUUGCCUCAAUUUCGCCGGGUGGACUAAAAGCAGACUGCACAUAGCCUAUCCAAUUCAGAGCUAAAUCGUGACUACAUAUAGACUAUGUCAUGAAAUGCCACUUAAAUCUUGUAGAAAUCGUUGACAUUGCGAACAUGGUGAGAUAUCAACCAUCGCAAGCACUUCCUGUCCAAAAACUACAAUAAAUCAGGAUUGACUAUAGGUGGGCUACAAACAGCCGGUCUGACUACGAGCUAAAUUGUGGCUAUGCACAGCCUACACAAUAUAACAUGUCAAAGAUGUGCAACCAAACACCUUGUAAUCACUGUUGACUUCACUUACAUGAUGCAAUAUCAUACAACUCGCAAGUUAUUUUGGCAAAAACGACAUGUAACCAAAGGAAAGAUUAUUUUGGCUAAAAGUGGGUUACACAUAGCCGGACUAUAUCGGGUCUAUAGUUAACCGAGACGGUGAAAUGACGGCUAUUGCUUGCUGGGUUGCGAUGCUUUGCUUUAAGAAGUUCUGUGGGGCCGUUCACAUAUUGCGUCUUUUCCGCAUGCAAGUCAGUUAUUUUUUUCAAAAAUUAAAUCGAGCUUUGGUUCAGUAUCCUUCCCCCACACCAUUAUGACGGUAACUCUCCAAACAAGCAAAUGCCCCCCCAUGUCCCGAUGUGAUCCGUCAGCUCCAGUCCACUAAUUUGGAGCGGUUAAGGCCCGGGUAUAGCCUACUUCUUUUCCCACGUUCCCCUCCGUCUCGCGCACAGUUGAGCGCGCAAAUCUUUCUAAGAUACUCAUUUGCCCUUGAGCGCGCGGGCCAACUUUGCCCAUGAGCUCGGAAAGACGCGUUCGGACGCAUGCACACGCGCACCGUCCAUGGUCAUAAAAAUUCGGCUGCGUGGACACUGUUCAGGGAGUCAAAGCUAGUCCACGGUCUAGUAAAUGUUUCUUGCUUGCGCCGACUGAAAAGACAUGAGACAAGAGAGACUCGGACAUUGCAGUACUAAACACUGAACGGUCUGUGGGUGAAUUUGGAUAAAACAGUUAAUCGAUUUGAUGCCGAGUCCGAAUGCCGUUUAUUCCUUCACAGUGGCAUAUAGUGGAUGGGCAUGCAGGGCUAUUAUUUUUUUUUAUUAUUAUCAUGCUACUUUUAUUAUUAAAUUAAUAUUGCAAUUAAUUUGCCCCGCGAUAGCGCAUCACCGCAUAGGGCCUAACCGACGCGCUGCGAGGACAAUAAAAUAUUAAUUAGAUAGCUCCUCAUUUAAAGAACAACUUGUUUAACACGAAAUACUUCUCAAAUUAACGAAACCUUUUUUCUCACUAUGGGCCACAAGAGAAAUAUUAAGAAAAUAAAUUAGAGUCAUCUCUCAUCUCUAAGAGAAUAUGCGCCGUUAUUGCAGCGUCGGAUGCCAAAAACUCAAGUCAGGUUUUUACUUUGUUUCUGUAGUGAAUAAUUGACUGGAGUUUGAGACUUCUUCACCCACAUAACUCUCACGCAAAGUUUGCACAUUGGUUGUGUGAUUUCCUGGCUCGUCUUCAUUGGUUUAAAAUGGAAAUAUUUUCAAUAUUGCAACGUGGCACUUUUCUUUAUUGCUCGUAAAAUGGUGGACACUGAUUCACAUAUCAUCCACGUCAUUUCCCGUGAUAAUAAAAUGAAGUGAAUAAACAACAAGCUAUAUAUAUAUAUAUAUAUAUAUAUAUAUAUAUAUAUAUAUAUAUAUAUUAGAAAAAAAAUAGAGGUCCACCCUAUUUCACCAAGGUCCACCCACUUGAAGAUUUCUGGCCUCGCCACUGGUUUAAUGUAGCGAAUUUGUCAAUAACAACAUAUCUGCGGUAAAACCUAAUAUAAUAAAAGUGCCAUAUAAGACAGAACAUUCUCUAAUAUGUAUAAUAUCAAAUCUAUUUAUAAGUAAUGUAGCAAUUCAUUAUUUUAAACGCUUUCAUGCAUUUUAAACGGGCUUCACUGCGCGCUCGAUCAGGUGAUUCAUUCAUCUUCUCGCACGCGGCGGGGGAGGGGUCUGUGGUAGUGGGUGAAUCCGCCAUGUUUGUGUGGCCUGGAGCGGACGCGAGCAAAACAAUGGAUUAUUUACCAAGAGAUAUUAAUGUUUGAGGUCAUUUCAUUUUGUUUGAGGUCAUUUCGACAACAUUCUGCAUUGUUAUGUGGAUCUCGUGUGUUUACGCUGCACUAAACUUUGACGAGCAACACUCCGAUAUGCAAACAAAGAGCUGAGGAAGAGGAUGAUGACGGUCCUGCACGAGAAAGAGCAGUAAUCAAGAGAAGUGUUAUCAUCGCUGAAGAAAUGGCAGAUUUUAAUCCUCAGACACCGAGCAGGUCAAGCCCUGAAGAAAUAACACCAUAGACAACAUCUUCUCUGACUGAAUUAGCAAGGAGCUGUUGGAGCCAAUGAGAAAGCUGGUAAGUUUGGCACAUUCAGUUAGACCAUGUUACCUUUAUUAAUAGAUACUUGUAUACUAUUUGCUCUUUACAGGUGGAAUGUAAACCUGAGUAAACGUCGCUACUUUAAUGAUUAAGUUUACUGAGCGAUGUAAACUGCUGUCAUCCACGUCACAUCAUUGCUCUAACCAACGUUACCUGAAGAAUCCUUUCAGCGUGGCAGAUAUUCGCAAGCAUCUGGAGCCAACUUAAAAUACUGAACUGGAUGCUUACUGGAGAGUGAGCUUCAACACUUAAGGUUUGUGCAAAGUUACUCCAUAUCACUGAAAACUGUAUGCGUCAAGAUUUCAGAGACUCUGUGUGACAUUUUAAAUGUUUAUGAUCUUCAGGGUGUGCACGAUGUCAACAUGACACGCAUCGUAGCCCUCCGUGCUCCUCAGUACCUGUGUAAGGAGGACCCACAAUUCUUCAAGAAAUGAGGCGUUGGGAGAGCCAGACAUCACUGAUUCUGUCAUUGUGGUCAACUAAAAGAAGUCCUUCAAGCACUGCAGUUGUGAUAGAAGAUGAUCUAAUCUUCAAAAAAUCUUUAAUUGUACAGCUCGAGGUUUAUUUUAUGUAUUUAUUUUUUUAGCUGUUGUUGUUUUUUGGGGGGGGUUUUGAGUUAGCUUUUUUUAUGUAAUGAAGUCCUGCUGAGGUGCCCGAUCCUGUUCCUGGAGAUCUUCCUGCCUGCAGAGUUCAGCUAAGUUCUUCAGCUCAUUAUUUUGCUAAGUACAACAGCAAAACUUUUUCCAUUUACAAAUGUAUUUAAAACAUUAAGUUUGUCUAUACUUAUCCAAUUUUACACACUACAAUAUUACUACAAUACUUGUAUAACAACUGCUGUUAUUUUAUGUAAUAUAGUUUUGUAAUUGUUUUGUAAAUAAAAUGUUUUCAUGCCAACCAGAUCAAGUGAGUUCUUUUCAAAUGGACAUAUAAUUGCUUUUCAUAAUAAUGUGAUGUUUGGGGGGGCAGUGAUUACACCAGGCAUCCGGUCCGAGUGGUAAGUCUCCGGCAGGCAAGAAUCUAACCAGAACUGGCCCGAUUGUAUUUUGCUAUCUGAGAACCAUCUGUGAGUGAACAUAAGCAGAGUCAUUGCCAGAAGUGGCACAGAUCUCUAUAGCCAGAUUUGGGCCAGUUACAGUGAACAGGAAUCGGCCCACUGCUUUACAGCCGUAACAAAUAUACAUGUGCCAGAGCGAGCUGCGGGCCACAAUCGGUUAACAUGCGCCGAUGCUGAUUCUGAGCCGCAGGCGCCGUGGGGUAGCCGAGCUCAGGCCGAUUACUAUAUGCUGUCUGAGUCAUUAUCUUUAACUCAAAAUGCUAAAUACAGUGUACUUCACCUUAGUAUUUCAUGUGAUGUUAAGGAUGUAGGAUCAGCAGAUCUUAAACAGAUUCUUAAAUUUGUAAUCCCACAGUCCCCCCUUUGAGAGUUCUAAUAAUUCACUUAAUACAAAUUUAACCCUUCUUAAAUCUCUUCUAUAUAGUGAUUUCUACUCCAUUCACCUGUGACGUAGUGAUUUUUGAUCACGUGUCAUUUACGGUGUGGUUAAGAGUGUAUCAGAUGACCCCUCCCCCUUUUGUAAUACGGGGCACCAGUUAAGAAUACUGUCUUAAUUUAAGAACACUCCAAAAGAGCUGUUCAAUAAUUCAGAAUUAAUAUAAAAUGGAGUUGGUCAACUGAUUUAUCUGAAGGAUUUGUGAGAGUCUGGUCAACUAGUAGAGUCUUUGAUCAUCAACACAAGGAAGACACAGUUAUAAUAAAAUCAAUGAAAUUUAUUAAAAAUAGACAUGCAAGAGUAAAUACCACAACGAUUAAUAAUGAAAUAAUGAAUAUGCACUUCUAAAAGAUAGUAAAAUAAUAAUCAAAGGAGAAUACUGAAUUAAAUCAAAGAAACUAAGAAAAGAAGUGAACACAGAAUGGAUAAAUGCAAUGCUGUUGAACUGAAUAUAGGAUGGAAGAGAAUCGUAUGGGAAUGCUUCUUAAGGAAGCCACCUAAUGGCUCUGGUAAAAUGGUGAUAAAUAAUUGCUUAUUUAUCAUUCACCAGAUAAUAUCUCUAUUAUUUGUAACAAGCUGAUCUCAAGUAACUGUUAUCUAAAGAGGUUAGAAAACAUAUGCUGCAUGUAUAAACUAAUGCCAAGGUCUCUAGAAAAGAGGUUUGGUAAGUUUAUAUUUACGUUCCACACAGUCGGGUGAUCAGUCCGGUAGCAGAGACGUCUUCCACUGAUGAUGCAGGGUGCGUGCAGUGGGAGGGCAUGGAGUUGCGAUCCAGUAGUCGUGCCAUGCUGGGCUGGAGGAUGCUGAACUUCUGUUGCACCAAGAGGGCCCUAUAGGAUGAACUGGGCAGCUGGGUCAGAUGAAUCUUCACAGGUCAGAAACUCAGGACGUGGAGUGUCUGUCAGUGUCUCCUUCCCCGUCGAGCUGGAAACGCAGAACAAGGGUUUGUCUACCCGGGGGACAUAUUUAUCCCUUUCUGAUGAGGAGUGAGAUGUGGUGCCUUGCCAAUUCUGGAGUGUGAUUGGCUACUGUUAUCUGAAGCAGACCCGGUGUUGCCCACCCUAGUUUGUAACUCAUUUGCAUAGCAUAAAGUACAGUGUUAAAAUAGUGUCUUUAACCUUUUACCCAUGCAUUAUUUCUUUAUCAAACCUCUUUCAAAUUAUUAUAGGCAUCAUAGGGAACAGACAGACACCAAACAAGAUAUGAAAUGGUUAAAUCAUCGUCCAUGCAUUUGUUUAUCUGUUAACAGGUCUGUCCCAUGACCUGUUGUUUUAACAGUCAGUAACCAUUAACAUAAGCUGUGCUUUGAAUGAAGAUGGAGUGGAUGUGAUGCAGUUUAGAUCAAAUUAAGGCCUCCAAACAUAGGUAUGAAUGGAUUUAGAUAGAUCUCUGUGGCCUCUCUUUAUUUCAGUCACUGCUGUUCCAUCCAGGGGGUCCUGAAGGAAUUUUUAUGGCAGUCCUUGCCUAAACCUUAGGAAUGAGUUUGGUGGUUAGAGUUAAUGUGUCAUCCAAUGAGAAGUCCUCUCCUUGGUUUGGGUGGGUGCAGAAGGUUCCCCUUCCUGCUCUGUGUCAUGUCCGACAUUUACAUAAGUGUUGUUCUUUUACUUGAGUAAACUGUCGAGACACAUAUACAACAUGGGUGGUAACAUGUUGUAUAAACUACAUGAUGAGACAGAAAAGCAUGUUGCCUAAUCGUGGAUGUCUUAAAAGUCCAUGGCACCUGAAUAGCUGUGGAGUGUGUUCCCUGUAGAGUCCAUUUCCAAUGCAUUUCCAUGUCUUUUCCAAGUUGCUCAGAUGACUCUGUCGUCAUGAAGGUUGUUCAUGGAUAUCUGAGGUGAUGCUUUACAUCAGGUGCUGUUUAUGAGCCGUCAUGGCAUAGACACAUACCUGCAACACAAGAAAACAUAGAAACAACCACAGUUCCUCAACAAACCGACCAUACCGGCGUGAUGAAUACGAUCCUCAACUGGAUG